GUCCACCCCGUAAACGUUGGGAACUAGUUGUGGGGUCCAUUCCACGGAUUCCGUGACGCAGCUAACGCAUUAAGUUCCCCGCCUGGGGAGUACGGCCGCAAGGCUAAAACUCAAAGGAAUUGACGGGGACCCGCACAAGCGGCGGAGCAUGCGGAUUAAUUCGAUGCAACGCGAAGAACCUUACCAAGGCUUGACAUAUACGAGAACGCUGCAGAAAUGUAGAACUCUUUGGACACUCGUAAACAGGUGGUGCAUGGUUGUCGU
rnacentral:rRNA from 1 species